CUACGGGUGGCUCCAGUGGGGAAUAUUGGACAAUGGGGGAAACCCUGAUCCAGCAAUGUCGCGUGUGUGAAGAAGGCCUGCGGGUUGUAAAGCACUUUCGGUUGGGAGGACUGCUUCUAGCACUAAUAUUGUUGGAAGUUGACGUUACCUUCAGAAGAAGCACCGGCUAACUCCGUGCCAGCAGCCGCGGUAAUACGGGGGGUGCAAGCGUUAAUCGGAAUUACUGGGCGUAAAGCGCGCGUAGGCGGCUAGAUCAGUCGGGUGUGAAAGCCCCGGGCUUAACCGGGGAACUGCAUCCGAUACUGUCUAGCUUGAGUACAGGAGAGGAGAGUGGAAUUCCACAUGUAGCGGUGAAAUGCGUAGAUAUGUGGAGGAACACCAAUGGCGAAGGCAGCUCUCUGGCCUGAUACUGACGCUGAGGUGCGAAAGCGUGGGGAGCAAACAGGAUUAGAUACCCCGGUAGUC
rnacentral:rRNA from 1 species